rnacentral:rRNA from 1 species
AUGGCUGCCUACCGCCUCCUCUUGUUCCUUGUGCUUGCGCUCGCCGUCAGCAACAGCAUCAGCCCAGUGGCCGCCGCGGACUACGAUGACGUGCAGCUGCGGCAGGAGGCCAUGAUGCAGGCCCUCGGGGUGGUCGCCCGCUUCGACCUGGCCACCACCGACGCCGAGGCAGUGAGGCAGGUGAAGCAGGCGCUCGCGGUGCUGAACCGUGAGGUCAAGGCCCGCCCCCAGCAGUGGAAGCCCAUCUUCAAGGCCCUCGACAAGGUGAUGGACAGCGGCGCCGACGACCGCAGUAGGGCAAAGGCGUCCGCUGAGCUCAAGGUGCUGCUCGACCGCGAGCUCGGCCCGUGCCCGGACAGCCUCAGAAGGGACCUCGGAAUCGGUGAUCUGUAA